CCCGCUGAACUUAAGCAUAUCAAUAAGCGGAGGAAAAGAAACUAACAAGGAUUCCCCUAGUAACUGCGAGUGAAGCGGGAAGAGCUCAAAUUUUGAAUCUGGCGGUGUUUGGCCGUCCGAGUUGUAAUCUAGAGAAGCGUCUUCCGCGCUGGACCGUGUACAAGUCUCCUGGAAGGGAGCGUCAUAGAGGGUGAGAAUCCCGUCUUUGACACGGACUACCAGUGCUAUGUGAUGCGCUCUCGACGAGUCGAGUUGUUUGGGAAUGCAGCUCAAAAUGGGUGGUAAAUUCCAUCUAAAGCUAAAUACAGGCGAGAGACCGAUAGCGAACAAGUACCGUGAGGGAAAGAUGAAAAGAACUUUGGAAAGAGAGUUAAACAGUAUGUGAAAUUGCUGAAAGGGAAACGCUUGAUGUCAGUCACGUUGGCUAGGGAUCAACCUUGCUUCUUGCUGGGUGUAUUUCCUAGCCGACGGGUCAGCAUCAGUUUCGGUCGCUGUACACUGGCAAAGGGAACGUGGCACUCCAAGGAGUGUGUCAUAGCCUUUCUUACAUAUCGCAGUGUGUUGGGACUGAGGAUCUCGGCGCGAAAUCUAUCGUGUGCUUAGGAUGCUGGCAUAAUGGCCUUAAGCGACCCGUCUUGAAACACGG
rnacentral:rRNA from 1 species